AGAUUGAACGCUGGCGGCAUGCCUUACACAUGCAAGUCGAGCGGCAGCACGGGAGCAAUCCUGGUGGCGAGUGGCGAACGGGUGAGUAAUAUAUCGGAACGUGCCCAGUAGCGGGGGGAUAACUACGCGAAAGCGUGGCUAAUACCGCAUACGCCCUACGGGGGAAAGGGGGGGAUUCUUCGGAACCUCUCACUAUUGGAGCGGCCGAUAUCAGAUUAGCUAGUUGGUGAGGUAAAGGCUCACCAAGGCCGCGAUCUGUAGCUGGUUUGAGAGGACGACCAGCCACACUGGGACUGAGACACGGCCCAGACUCCUACGGGAGCAGCAGUGGGGAAUUUUGGACAAUGGGGGAAACCCUGAUCCAGCCAUCCCGCGUGUGCGACGAAGGCCUUCGGGUUGUAAAGCACUUUUGGCUAGGAAGAAACGGCGUCGACUAAUAUUUGACGUCACUGACGGUACCUGCAGAAUAAGCAUCGGCCAACUACGUGCCAGCAGCCGCGGUAAC
rnacentral:rRNA from 1 species